rnacentral:misc_RNA from 1 species
GAAAUGCGAUAAGUAAUGUGAAUUGCAGAAUUCAGUGAAUCAUCGAAUCUUUGAACGCACAUUGCGCCCGCCAGUAUUCUGGCGGGCAUGCCUGUCCGAGCGUCAUUUCAACCAUCAAGUCCCCGGGCUUGUGUUGGGGACCUGCGGCUGCCCGCAGGCCCUGAAAACCAGUGGCGGGCUCGUUGUCACACCGAGCGUAGUAGCAAUCACCUCGCUCAGGGCGUGCUGCGGGUUCCGGCCGUUAAACAGCCUUACAAAACCCAAGGUUGACCUCGGAUCAGGUAGGAAGACCCGCUGAACUUAAGC